UCCGUAGGCGGGCAGCUAAGUCAGUGGUGAAAGUCUGCAGCUCAACUGUAGAAUUGCCAUUGAUACUGGUUGUCUUGAAUUAUUAUGAAGUGGUUAGAAUAUGUAGUGUAGCGGUGAAAUGCAUAGAUAUUACAUAGAAUACCAAUUGCGAAAGCAGAUCACUAAUAAUAUAUUGACGCUGAUGGGCGAAAGCGUGGGGAGCGAACAGGAUUAGAUACCCUGGUAGUCC
rnacentral:rRNA from 1 species